AAAUUCAAAAGUAGGUCACUGUGACCUACUUCUUGUUGGACAUUCAAUGAAACCCUAAGAUGCCUCAACUGACAAAGUUUGAUAAUUCCGAGCCAAUAAGUACCAGAUAUAAUUAAAUAUAGCCAUAAAAUGUCAAAAGUAGGUCACAGUGACCUACUUUUUGGUCAACGUUCUCCGAAAACCCAAGGUGCCUAAACUGACAAAGUUUGAUGAUUCUAAGCUUAUAUGUACCUGAGAUAUUCAAAAGUAGGUCACUGUGACCUAUUUUUUGGUCGACAUUCUCCGAAAAUCCAAGAUGCCUAAAUUGACAAAGUUUGAUGAUUCUUAGCCAAUAAGUGCCUGAGAUACUUAAAUAUAGCCAUAAAAUGUCAAAAAUAGGUCACUGCGACCUACUUUUUGGUCGACGUUCUCCGAAAACCCAAGAUGCAUUAAAUGACAAAGUUUGAUGAUUUUAGGUCAAUAUGUACCAGAGAUACUUAAUUAUAGUCACAAAAUGUCAAAAGUAGGUCACCAUGACCUACUUUAUGGUCGUCACUCUCUGAAAACC